ACGAUUCGCUAGGGGAGCGCAAGCUGAGAUUGUGUGAAAGCCAGACAUCUUUUACACUAACCCUCAUUACUUGAACCGGAUAAUACCGGCGUAGGGAAGCAGAUUUUUAUAAAU
rnacentral:ncRNA from 2 species